rnacentral:lncRNA from 1 species
CCUUGCUUCUGAUCACAUUCUUUAUACUAGUUCCUAGCCUGUGAGAGCUCUUAAACUCCUUUCUCUUCUGGCUUGUGAAUCCAUGUCUCCACCUCUGGUUCUAGCCUCAUUAUAAUCAUCAGGACCAAUGGUGCAGGUUCCUGAAAGAGUGCUCACUUUCUUGAUAAAGGAUCAGACAGUAAUGACAUUCUCAGCAGCUGAAGAAGCUCUAUUGCUGUCUGCAGGGGCAAUGGCAGUAAAUCCUAGAUCUGUAGGUCAGAUCUUUAUCUCUGUGGUUCAUUGGACACAUGCUCUUCUUCUGACCAGUAAUAUUAUCUGAUGGCAUUUCAGUAGUUUAUACAUUUGAUGGAUUGCCCUACAUAGAU